rnacentral:rRNA from 1 species
AAUAGAUACCCUGGUAGUCCACGCCGUAAACGUUGGGCGCUAGAUGUGGGGACCAUUCCACGGUUUCCGUGUCGCAGCUAACGCAUUAAGCGCCCCGCCUGGGGAGUACGGCCGCAAGGCUAAAACUCAAAGGGAAUUGACGGGGGCCCGCACAAGCGGCGGAGCAUGCGGAUUAAUUCGAUGCAACGCGAAGAACCUUACCAAGGCUUGACAUAUACGAGAACGCUCUAGAAAUAGAGAACUCUUUGGACACUCGUAUACAGGUGGUGCAUGGUUGUCGUCAGCUCGUGUCGUGAGAUGUUGGGUUAAGUCCCGCAACGAGCGCAACCCUCGUUCUAUGUUGCCAGCGGUUCGGCCGGGAACUCAUAGGAGACUGGCCGGGGUCAACUCGGAGGAAGGUGGGGAUGACGUCAAAUCAUCAUGCCCCUUAUGUCUUGGGCUUCACGCAUGCUACAAUGGCCGGUACAAAGGGCUGCAAUACCGCAAGGUGGAGCGAAUCCCAAAAAGCCGGUCUCAGUUGGAUUGAGGUCUGC